rnacentral:rRNA from 1 species
GGGGAAUUUUUCGCAAUGGGCGCAAGCCUGACGAAGCAACGCCGCGUGGAGGAUGAAGGCCUUCGGGUCGUAAACUCCUGUCGACCGGGACGAAAGCAGUCUGGCCGAUAACUCCAGGCUGUUGACUGUACCGGUGGAGGAAGCCACGGCUAACUCUGUGCCAGCAGCCGCGGUAAUACAGAGGGUGCGAGCGUUGUCCGGAAUCACUGGGCGUAAAGGGCGCGUAGGCGGUGACUUAAGCGUGUGGUGAAAGCUCGGGGCUCAACCCCGAGUCGGCCGUGCGAACUGGGUCACUGGAGCAGAUCAGAGGCAGGCGGAAUUCCGGGUGUAGCGGUGGAAUGCGUAGAGAUCCGGAAGAACACCGGUGGCGAAGGCGGCCUGCUGGGAUCUUGCUGACGCUGAGGCGCGACAGCGUGGGGAGCAAAC